rnacentral:rRNA from 1 species
GUAUAGUUAAGUGACUAAGCGUACAAGGUGGAUGCCUUGGCAAUCAGAGGCGAAGAAGGACGUGCUAAUCUGCGAAAAGCUUGGAUGAGUCGAUAAGAGGCGUUUAAUCCAAGAUAUCCGAAUGGGGAAACCCAGUAGAUGAAGAAUCUACUAUCAACAAGUGAAUUCAUAGCUUGUUGAGGCAAACCGGGAGAACUGAAACAUCUAAGUACCCCGAGGAAAAGAAAUCAACCGAGAUUUCGUCAGUAGUGGCGAGCGAAAGCGAAAGAGCCAGUAAGUGAUAGCAGUAUAGUUAGGAGAAUGUGUUGGGAAGCACAAUCAAAGAGGGUGAUAAUCCCGUAUCUAAAAACCAUAUUGUGGUACUAAGCUAACGAGAAGUAGGGCGGGACACGUGAUAUCCUGUUUGAAGAAGGGGGGACCAUCCUCCAAGGCUAAAUACUCCUGAUUGACCGAUAGUGAACCAGUACUGUGAAGGAAAGGCGAAAAGAACCCCGGUGAGGGGAGUGAAAUAGAACCUGAAACCUUGUACGUACAAGCAGUGGGAGCGAGGGCAACCUUGUGACUGCGUACCUUUUGUAUAAUGGGUCAGCGACUUAUAUUUUGUAGCGAGGUUAACCGAAUAGGGGAGCCGAAGGGAAACCGAGUCUUAACUGGGCGAAUAGUUGCAAGGUAUAGACCCGAAACCCGGUGAUCUAGCCAUGGGCAGGUUGAAGGUUGGGUAACACUAACUGGAGGACCGAACCGACUAAUGUUGAAAAAUUAGCGGAUGACUUGUGGCUGGGGGUGAAAGGCCAAUCAAACCGGGAGAUAGCUGGUUCUCCCCGAAAUCUAUUUAGGUAGAGCCUUGAGGUGACACCUUUGGGGGUAGAGCACUGUUUCGGCUAGGGGUCCAUCCCGGAUUACCAACCCGAUGCAAACUACGAAUACCAAAGAGUGAUACUCAGGAGACACACGGCGGGUGCUAACGUCCGUCGUGGAGAGGGAAACAACCCAGACCGCCAGCUAAGGUCCCCAAGUCUAUAUUAAGUGGGAAACGAAGUGGGAAGGCUUAGACAGCUAGGAUGUUGGCUUAGAAGCAGCCAUCAUUUAAAGAAAGCGUAAUAGCUCACUAGUCGAGUCGGCCUGCGCGGAAGAUGUAACGGGGCUGAAAUAUAGCACCGAAGCUGCGGCAUCAGGCGUAUCACUAAUACGCCUUACGAUUAACAAGCUAGAAUGGCGCGAAGCGUCAUGAAAGGUUGUUCAAGCAACCCGAACGUUGAGUCGGGCAUCUUAGAGUAAGGAUGAUUAGUGAUACGCCUGUUGGGUAGGGGAGCGUUCUGUAAGCGGAUGAAGGUUAAUUGAGAGGUUAGCUGGACGUAUCAGAAGUGCGAAUGCUGACAUAAGUAACGAUAAAACGGGUGAAAAACCCGUUCGCCGGAAGACCAAGGGUUCCUGUCCAACGUUAAUCGGGGCAGGGUGAGUCGGCUCCUAAGGCGAGGCUGAAAAGCGUAGUCGAUGGGAAACAGGUUAAUAUUCCUGUACUUGGUAAAGCUGCGAUGUGGGGACGGAGUAGGUUAGGUUAUCGCACUGUUGGAUAUGUGCGUUUAAGUUGGUAGGUGGGAAGUUUAGGCAAAUCCGGACUUCCUUAACACAGAGAGAUGAUG